rnacentral:lncRNA from 1 species
UUGCAAACUUUUAUAUUUCUGCCUUCUUUUUUAGUGACUUCAAAAUAUUCCAUUGAAGAUUUUUUGUAACUAUGGGCUCUGCAUCAGAGUGUUGGCUGCUAUGGAGACCAAAGGACAUAAAUAUCAAGUAAAUUCUAAAUCAUCCGGUAAUCUCUGUUGGGAAGAAUAUUUUUCUUUUCUUCAGAAAAAAAUAAUUUUAUAAGUUCAACAGUAGAGAAAGGAAGACAAAAUUUAUAAAACUGAUGCAACUAUGUCCCUAUGGAAGUCACAGAAUAUGAUAAAUAGGGCCUAAGUCUGUUGUUCCAGUUGUUUGUAAUAACCAGCAAAGUAAGAAGGUAGCUGUUACAGAAGUAAGCGGCAACACUUGGAAAAGCAGGUAGGAGUUCUUUGAUGCUACACUGACCUCACCCACAGAAAUAAUUGGUCCCGUGGAACCUGAAAGAACUAAGGAGGUGAAAAUUGAUCUCAAAAAACCAUUUGGGGCUCCUUCUAUGUCCUAGGUGCCAUGCAACCCAGGCCUUCUUCGCAGGCCCCUCUACACGAGCUGCUCAGCUUCUAUGCACCCCAAAGAGAAAUAAAGUUCUGAAUUUUCUAUCCCAUUCAGGUAUCUCAAAAGAAUUGAUAGCCUUGAUUGAAAAGGUUGCCAGCUUCCCUAUCUCAACCCAAGAGGGUGGGAGGAAAGAAAAGGCAACAGAUAACAUUUUUCAUUUACACUUUCUUAAAAUCAUUGGGUUUUGACCUCAAACUGGAAUUCCCACAUCUUGCAUCUCAAUUGCAUGUCUGUUGUCACUUAGCAUUCCUUAAAUAUGUGUCUGGCAAGAGCCUCAUGUUCGUUAAUACACAUCCAGUGAAUACCUACAACAUACAGAACACUCUGUUAGCUUCUUUGGGCAUAAAAGAAUCAAAUAAAUGUUGAUUCUGCCCC